rnacentral:tRNA from 1 species
GUACUUUAGAUCAGUGGGUUAGAGCAGACGGUUCAUAACCGCCCGGUUGUAGUUUCAAGUCCUAAAAGGGACA